AUUGAACGCUGGCGGCAUGCUUUACACAUGCAAGUCGAACGGCAGCACGGGUGCUUGCACCUGGUGGCGAGUGGCGAACGGGUGAGUAAUGCAUCGGAACGUGCCCAUGAGUGGGGGGAUAGCCCGGCGAAAGCCGGAUUAAUACCGCAUACGCCCUUAGGGGGAAAGCGGGGGAUCUUCGGACCUCGCGCUAUUGGAGCGGCCGAUGUCGGAUUAGCUAGUAGGUGAGGUAAAGGCUCACCUAGGCGACGAUCCGUAGCUGGUCUGAGAGGAUGAUCAGCCACACUGGGACUGAGACACGGCCCAGACUCCUACGGGAGGCAGCAGUGGGGAAUUUUGGACAAUGGGCGCAAGCCUGAUCCAGCCAUGCCGCGUGAGUGAAGAAGGCCUCGGUUGUAAGUAC
rnacentral:rRNA from 1 species